AACGAACGCUGGCGGCAGGCUUAACACAUGCAAGUCGAACGGGCACCUUCGGGUGUCAGUGGCAGACGGGUGAGUAACGCGUGGGAACGUACCCUUCGGUUCGGAAUAACCCAGGGAAACUUGGGCUAACACCGGAUACGUCCGCAAGGAGAAAGAUUUAUCGCCGAAGGAUCGGCCCGCGUCGGAUUAGCUAGUUGGUGGGGUAAUGGCCCACCAAGGCGACGAUCCGUAGCUGGUCUGAGAGGAUGANCAGCCACACUGGGACUGAGACACGGCCCAGACUCCUACGGGAGGCAGCAGUGGGGAAUAUUGGACAAUGGGCGAAAGCCUGAUCCAGCCAUGCCGCGUGAGUGAAGAAGGCCUUAGGGUUGUAAAGCUCUUUCAGCGGGGAAGAUAAUGACGGUACCCGCAGAAGAAGUCCCGGCUAACUUCGUG
rnacentral:rRNA from 1 species